UGCUAUUGAAGAGUUGAAAACAACAGUCAAGAUUAAUGCCCCUGCUAUUGAAGAGUUGCAAACAGCAGUCAAGAUGAAUGCCCCUGCCAUUGAAGCUCAGGGAGUAUCCCAGCUACCUGUCCAGUCAGAUCAAAUCAAGAUCAAUCUCAAGUGUAGGGCAUCAUCACAGCUCAAAGGUAAAACACAAGAGAAGACAAAGAACAGAACCAAAAGUGUAGAUUACACUGAUCAUUCUCUCAUUUGGCCCUAUUGGUGGGUGUGUUUCACUGGUGGCUGGCAUCCUUAAACAUGACCUAACAGAUGACUGUCAGCCCAAGAACUGUCUGUUACCAACAGUUGAUACACAGUUAUAUUAUGAU
rnacentral:sRNA from 1 species